rnacentral:rRNA from 1 species
GCACAAGCGGUGGAGCAUGUGGUUAAUUCGAAGCAACGCGAAGAACCUUACCAGGUCUUGACAUCCCGAUGCUAUUUCUAGAGAUAGAAAGUUACUUCGGUACAUCGGUGACAGGUGGUGCAUGGUUGUCGUCAGCUCGUGUCGUGAGAUGUUGGGUUAAGCCCCGCAACGAGCGCAACCCCUAUUGUUAGUUGCCAUCAUUCAGUUGGGCACUCUAGCGAGACUGCCGGUAAUAAACCGGAGGAAGUGGGGAUGACGUCAAAUCAUCAUGCCCCUUAUGACCUGGGCUACACACGUGCUACAAUGGUUGGUACAACGAGUUGCGAGUCGGUGACGGCGAGCUAAUCUCUUAAAGCCAAUCUCAGUUCGGAUUGUAGGCUGCAACUCGCCUACAUGAAGUCGGAAUCGCUAGUAAUCGCGGAUCAGCACGCCGCGGUGAAUACGUUCCCGGGCCUU